rnacentral:tRNA from 1 species
GCAUCUGACUCUUAAUCAGCAG